rnacentral:snRNA from 11 species
AAAAUUAUUUCAGUGAAAGUGAUCCCUCAAUCAAGAAGGGNAUUUUCCCNGGGUGAGACUUAGCCACUGCAAUCCAGAUCUUCGGACCUUAAGAUUGUCCCCAAAUGUGGAAAACUCUAUUGUAUAGUUUGUGAUAGUGGGGGACUGUGUUACANCUUUCCCCUA